CUCCUUUCCUUCACCUGGGGCUCCCAGCCUAUUAGGGCACCUCUACCAGUCAUCUAGGCUCUGGAGCUUGGAACACUCCACCCACAGAGUCACAAUGGUUAAACACCACUGGUGGUGAAACUGGAGGCAGAGGUAGCCAGCCCCCAUGGGGCGUAGAGACACCUCAUUAAGGAUGGAUCUGGAUCUGGUGCGUGUCUACACUUAGAGGCGUGGGGAGGCGGAGGCAUGGAAUCCAGAUUUACUACAUGGCUGCACUGUGGAGAGGGAUGCAUCGGGACCAGGUGCAGUAAAGAAUAAAGACAACGGUACAUUAUUUUUAUUAUUGAGUGUGCAAAACAACCAAAACUCUAC